rnacentral:rRNA from 1 species
GAGAGUAAAACAGUACGUGAAAUUGUUGAAAGGGAAACGAUUGAAGUCAGUCAUGCCGGCGUUGGAUUCAGCUUGCUUCGCGGAGCUUGCGCAUUUCCUCGCAUGGCAGGUCAGCGUCAGUUUUGCGCGGCGUGAAAAGGCUCGGGUAAGGUAGCUCUCUUCGGGGAGUGUUAUAGACCUGGGCAAAUGCGCAGCGCGGGACUGAGGAUUGCAGCGGACACCUCUUCGGAGGCGCGGCGACCGAACCCUGCUCGGCCACCCUCGUUCGAUAGCGUGCUAACGGACGCGGGAGCGGCAGUGCACCGGAACAGGCAAGCCAGCGGUUCGCUUAGGAUGCUGACGUAAUGGCUUUAAACGA